rnacentral:rRNA from 1 species
AACUCAAAGGAAUUGACGGGGCCCGCACAAGCGGAGGAGCAUGUGGUUUAAUUCGAUGAUACGCGAGGAACCUUACCUGGGCUCGAACGUAAGAUGACUGUAGGUGAAAGCUUACAUCUCUUCGGAGCAUUUUACGAGGUGCUGCAUGGUUGUCGUCAGCUCGUGCCGUGAGGUGUUGGGUUAAGUCCCGUAACGAGCGCAACCCUUGUCCUUAGUUACCAGCACGUUAUGGUGGGCACUCUAAGGAGACUGCCGGUGACAAACCGGAGGAAGGUGGGGAUGACGUCAAGUCAUCAUGGCCCUUACGGCCUGGGCUACACACGUGCUACAAUGGUCGGUACAAAGGGUUGCCAAGCCGCGAGGUGGAGCUAAUCCCAUAAAACCGAUCGUAGUCCGGAUCGCAGUCUGCAACUCGACUGCGUGAAGUCGGAAUCGCUAGUAAUCGUGAAUCAGAAUGUCACGGUGAAUACGUUCCCGGGCCUU